rnacentral:rRNA from 1 species
AUGUCUCAAGAUUAGCCAUGCAUGUCUAAGUAUAAACAACCUUUAUACUGUGAAACUGCGUACAGCUCAUUAUAUCAGCAAUUAUUUAUUUGAUGGUAACUCACUACAUGGACAACCGUGGUAAUUCUAGAGCUAAUACAUGCGUAAAAUCCUGAGCCUUCGGGUAAGGGACGUAUUUAUUAGAUAAAGAAUCAAUACCGGCUCUGGUCGGUUUUAUUGAUUGAAUCAUAAUAACUGGGUCGAAUCCCCCUGCCUUUGGGGUGGGGAAUAGUUCAUUCAAAUUUUCUGCCCUAUCAACUUUCCACGGGGAUGGAGUGGAAUAACCGGGGCGUUAACGGGAAACGAGAAUUAGGGGUUCAUUUCCGGAAAGGGGGCCGAGAAACGGCUACCCCCAUCCAAGGAAGGGCGCCGGGGGCGCCAAAUUACCCAUCCUGGCACAGGGGAGGGAGUGGCAAAUAAAUAACAAUACUUGAAUUCUUUAUAAGAAUUUGGGUAUUGUG